rnacentral:tRNA from 1 species
UCCCUGAUGGUCCAGUGGUCAGAACUAGGCACUUCCACUGCUGGUUCCUGGGUUCAAACCCUGACUAGGGAA